rnacentral:ncRNA from 1 species
AUACGAUAAUGGCAAAAUAUCCGAAAGGAUAUGACGCAAAGCUACGGAUCUAAAGCGCUGAGCUAUGACCGCCGGGUUACCUUA